rnacentral:rRNA from 1 species
GACGAACGCUGGCUGCGUGCUUAACACAUGCAAGUCGAACGCUGAAACCCUGGUGCUUGCACCGGGGUGGAUGAGUGGCGAACGGGUGAGUAACACGUGAGUAACCUGCCCCCGACUUCGGGAUAAGCCCGGGAAACUGGGUCUAAUACCGGAUAUGAGCGCCCCUCGCAUGAGGGAUGCUGGAAAGUCUUUUCGGUUGGGGAUGGGCUCGCGGCCUAUCAGUUUGUUGGUGAGGUAAUGGCUCACCAAGACGACGGCGGGUAGCCGGCCUGAGAGGGCGACCGGCCACACUGGGACUGAGACACGGCCCAGACUCCUACGGGAGGCAGCAGUGGGGAAUAUUGCACAAUGGGGGAAACCCUGAUGCAGCGACGCAGCGUGCGGGAUGACGGCCUUCGGGUUGUAAACCGCUUUCAGCAGGGAAGAAGCCCCUUGGGGUGACGGUACCUGCAGAAGAAGUACCGGCUAACUACGUGCCAGCAGCCGCUGUAA